UACGUAGGGUGCAAGCGUUGUCCGGAAUUAUUGGGCGUAAAGAGCUCGUAGGCGGUUUGUCGCGUCUGCUGUGAAAUCUGGGGGCUCAACCCCCAGCCUGCAGUGGGUACGGGCAGACUAGAGUGCGGUAGGGGAGAUUGGAAUUCCUGGUGUAGCGGUGGAAUGCGCAGAGUAUCAGGAGGAACACCGAUGGCGAAGGCAGAUCUCUGGGCCGUAACUGGACGCUGAGGAGCGGAAAGCAUGGGGAGCGAACAGG
rnacentral:rRNA from 1 species